CUUUCGAAUUCUGAAGUGAUUCGAGACCCAUGUCGCGCCUCAAUACGCAACACCGACACCUUCGAACGAUAGGAAUAAAUAAAUAAAUUAAUUAAUUAAUGAAUAGAUUACUAUUGUGUUAUUUCUAACACAUGAGAAAAAAAUCAUAAUAACGAUACGAUAAAGUAGUGGUUUGUAAUAGCUGGACCAGGGCAACGUUAUGUCAACUCACAUCGUUUUCAAGCGUUUCAACCAAUCCGCAAGGCGACUUCUGAUUUGCCUUCAAUAAAGAAAUGCUUCGCAAAUCAAGAGAAGAUGCUGAAAUGCCGAUGUGUUAAGACAGAGCAUAAAACAAAUGACCAAUUUAUCUUUUGGUUCGAGACGCGAUUAUCUAGAUUUCAUUUGUCAAACAAAUUAAACAAUUGAAAGUAGUAGCGUGAAGUUUUUGCUGAUGCGCAAUGAGUGCAGUGACUUCCAUAAUUCAUUUCUACAAUUAUUCGAACGUCGGUCAUUUGAAGAAUUCCGAACUUAAUCACAGGUGCACAGUCUACAAGUGGUGAGAAGACGACUUGGCGGAUUUCCAGCGUCAUAUAUUGGAAAGAACGUUUUUUGUAAGUUUUCGUGGGUGGUAUUGGAUUGCUGAGGUCAACAUACAAGAUUCUAUUUACCUGGAAGUGUUGGAAGGUGGUAGAAAUAUGACGACACUGAAGACAUUUGACUUCGAAUUCUCGUUGCGUUCCCACCAAUCACCGCAGACAAAUCUUCGCUCGACUUAUUAGACUGACUCGACUCUAGUGAGUAGCGGAUCGCAGCCGCUACUGGAUCACACACGCUGACUGCAGGCAUCACUGCAUAACCCUUUGACCCAGUAGUGUUGGUAUAACUUCUUUGA